ensembl:lncRNA
CAACAAUGGUGGUGGCUGUGUUCCAGAGUGAAGUUGGUGUCACGGCAACCUGGAAUGCAGACCAGAAGGGCAGUGCCAGCAAGAGAUCACCCCGGGGUAAAAGAGUGAGCAAGGGCUGUGGUGGGUAAGAGCAGCCCAUGGGGAUGGACAGCGGCUACUCCUCCCCCACCUCACAGCCACACACAGGGACAGGGACACAGCAGGACAGUGAGACACUCCUGUUCUCACCUGCAUUCAUAUCCUGACAAGAGGGCCAAGCACUGCAGGACAGGUGCUGGCACUGGACCCAUUGAUUGCAGUAGCCCUUUCAACACACGGGCAUGGAAAUUGUUGGCAGAUGAGCAACCCGAUGGACUUCUUGGCACUGACAGAACCAGGCCUCCCCAGCCACCACCAAGCAACCCAUGUCUGCUCCUGGACAAGGCACAAAGUGAAGCAUGAGGAGAGCACACGCCCCGCCAUGAAAUGCACUGUGGUCCUACAGGAUCUGAGGAUCUGCAUGGCAUGGACAGAGGCAGCUCCACAGCACCUUCCAGCUACAGACCCCUCCAUGGACGUACACACACACACACAGACAUGCUCUACCGACAUAAUCAGCUCACCUUAGAAUGGAGUCAGGACCUUGAAUAUGGCACUCAUCAGCAUCUGAAGAAACCAUAUGGACUGUCUACAAUUGAGCUUUAAAUAUAUGGAAGGAAUAAGAAGGUAAAAAAGGAUGGAUGGACCCAACCCAGAAAUAGCAGAGACACCAUAUCCAGAAGAGAAGGCAAGCCCUGUAACUGAGCAUGCUCCUGAUGCCAGAGAUGAAAGUUUAGAAGCGAUGAAGAUUGACAGCCUUCUUCUCUCAACCCCCAGAUGACCACCAAGAAGCUACAACAGAAAAAAAAAAAAAAAAAGAAAAAAAAAAAAACCCUUCAAAUUAAAAUUUCU